GACGAACGCUGGCGGCGUGCCUAAUACAUGCAAGUAGAACGCUGAAGGAGGAGCUUGCUUCUCUGGAUGAGUUGCGAACGGGUGAGUAACGCGUAGGUAACCUGCCUGGUAGCGGGGGAUAACUAUUGGAAACGAUAGCUAAUACCGCAUAACAGUAGAUAUCGCAUGAUAUCUACUUGAAAGGUGCAAUUGCAUCACUACCAGAUGGACCUGCGUUGUAUUAGCUAGUUGGUGAGGUAACGGCUCACCAAGGCGACGAUACAUAGCCGACCUGAGAGGGGGAUCGGCCACACUGGGACUGAGACACGGCCCAGACUCCUACGGGAGGCAGCAGUAGGGAAUCUUCGGCAAAGGACGGAAGUCUGACCGGGCAACGCCGCGGGAGUGAAGAAGGUUUUCGGAUCGUAAAGCUCUGUUGUAAGAGAAGAACGAGUGUGAGAGUGGAAAGUUCACACUGUGACGGUAUCUUACCAGAAAGGGACGGCUAACUACGUG
rnacentral:rRNA from 1 species